GACUGAUUAAUUUCUAUAUCGUUUUUAUGAUUUGAUUUUCCUUGUUGGGUGUAACUUAAUUAUUUACUCGUGCAUUCUAAAUGAGACUUAAUUGACUUGAAAGUUGAAUUCAUAUCAGUUUGAAAUACUUAAAAUAUGUGUAAAUGUUCUGGAACACCUGGACCUUAAGUUUCAAGAAAACCUUAGUGGUAAUUUGAAGCCAAGCUGGUGACGUUCCCACAAUUGCAGUAGUGAAACAUCUUGUUAUUUUAAGCUACUGUUUCAGGGAAAAGCCAGAAAGACUGAAGACGUGUUAAAACUUUGGUCUGAGCUCUGAGGCACUGGAUGCGACACUCAGCUUCUGAAUGCAACUUCAAAGUCUGCAUCUA